UGAAUAGACCAUUUUCAGCCUAACGUUUGUAAUGUAACACCAUAACUACAAUCAAGUUCUGCCUCUCCUAGGAGAAAUAGCAUGACUCUGCUGCCUGACUUCUGAGCAUCUCUGCCUGAACAUCUGAACACCCUGGUUGCUACCAGAUCAAGUCAUUUUGUCAUGUCCAUUAGGCCUGGUUUGCGCUGUUACUGUGGCCAGUGUGAAAGCAAAGGUCUCAGCUUCCCGCAACUCUGAUCUCAAUCCUUCUGAUUUCCUUUAAUUUUUUACUGUGAUGGAUGCUGGAGAGAGUAUAGCAAAUCCCUUAAGAGCCUGGACUGUGACACCUGCAGUGUGUUCCUUCAUCUCUGGCCUUCCAUGUACAAGGUUUGCCUCAUAAGUUCCUUUGAUAAAUAGAAUUCCAUGAAGCCUGGUUGCCUCUGCUUUUGCUCUUCAAGUGAUUUGCCAAGGAAGAAUUCUGACUGAUGCAGAGAUAGAUCACCAUGAUGUGAGGAAGACCAAGCUACUGAGCUAGAAGAGCUCAUAGGAAGGAGUAGUGUGAUACCAGACAUGCAAGUGCGAACUUCUUAGACCUCACGACCUAACCCAACUGAAGGCAGACCCCCAAAAUGAGAGCUUAUAUGAGAGAUCAGACAACAGAAGAAGGCUCUGGGGAUUAUGGUAACAUUUUACCAUCUAGAAAAUUCUAAAGGGUAAGGAUGAAGACUUUUUAUUGAUCAAAAUCUUUUUUUUAAGCCUGAAAACAAUUAAGGUAAUUUCUAAUGUCAAAGAGAUUUGAAGUGAAGCCCCUGAAGGACACUCCUUCCACUACCGCAUUCCCAUUUCAUGGGGUCAGAACAAGAGGUUGCAAGGCCUGAUGUCUUCAGUCCUUCCCUGACCCACAGAAUACUUCUCUCUCCUUCACUUUUACCAGAUAAUAGCUUUAUAAUUCACAUCCUCUGAAAUUCACCCUCUGAAGUUUUUUGUUUAUUUGUUUGUUUUGUAUAUUCACAGAAUUGGGCAACAACACCACUAUCUAAUUUCAGAAAUUUUCAUCUCCCCCCAAAAGACACCCUGAACACAUUAGCAGUCAAUCUCAAUUUGCCCCUCUCCAUACUCUGAAAACCACCAAUCCAUACUGUUUCUAUGGUUUGCCUAGUCUGACCAUUUAGUAUAAAUGGAAUCAUAUAGUACAGGGCUCUUUUGUAUUUGGAUUCUUCCCUGUAGCAUAAUGUUUUCAAAGAUUAUCUAUCUUAUGGCAUAUAUCAGUAUUUUAUUCCUUUUGUUUGUUUGCUUUUUAAGUGUAGUUGACACACGAUGUUACAUUAGUUUCAGGUGUACAACAUACAUCGAUUCAAUAACUUUAUACCUUCUGCUAUGCCAUUUUUUUAUGUUAGUCAUCAUAGUGGGUGUGAAGAAAUAUUUCAUUGGGAUUUUGAUUUGCAUUUCCCUGACUAAUGAUAGUGAGCAUCUUCUCCUGAGAUUAUUGGCCAUUUGUAGACGUUCUUUGAAGAAAUAUCUAUUCAAGUCCUUUGCCCAUAUUUAAAUUGGAUUAUUUGCAAAAGUUCUUUGUUCUGAAAACUUGUAUGAUUUGUAAAUAUUUCCUCACAUUCUGUAAGUUGACUUUUCAAUUUGACUAUUUUUUGAUGGUACAGCACAAAAUUUUUAAAUUUUAAUGAGGUUCAACUUACCUAUAUUUUCUUUGGUAAAUAUACUCUUAGUGUUGCAUCUUAAGGGUCCAUAACUUAAUCCAACAUCCCAACAGCCCUGAUUUUUUUCUAAGAGUUUUUUUAGUUUUGCACUUGCAUUUAUUUCUAUGAGCCAUGUUGUUAUUUUUGCAUAUGAUAUAAGGUAAGAGUUGAGCUGUAUUCAUUUAUACACAAAUAUCUAGUCAUCUCAGUACCAUUUCUUAAAAAGACAUUUCAUUGUCCUGACACCCUUAUUGAAAAUCAAUUGCCAUAAACUUAAGAGUUUAUUUAUUUUUGGACUCUCAAUUAUAUUCUAUUGAUCUACAUAUCUAGCCUUAUGCCAGUACCACAUUGCCUUGGCUACUAUAGCUUUAUAAGUUUUUAAAUUGGGAAGUAUGGAUAAUCCAAACUUUGUCCUUUUUUAAAGAUUGUUCUAGCUAUUUUGGGCCCAUUGUAUUCCCAUAUGAAUUUUUCAUAUGAAUUUUCACAUGAAUAUAUUACUUUCUGCACAAACCUCAGCCAAGAUUUUGAUAGAGAGUAUAUAUAUAUGUUGAAUCUGUAGAUUAGUUUUGGAGGACUGACAUCUCAA